rnacentral:rRNA from 1 species
GAUGAACGCUGGCGGCGUGCCUAAUACAUGCAAGUCGAGCGAACAGACGAGGAGCUUGCUCCUCUGACGUUAGCGGCGGACGGGUGAGUAACACGUGGAUAACCUACCUAUAAGACUGGGAUAACUUCGGGAAACCGGAGCUAAUACCGGAUAAUAUAUUGAACCGCAUGGUUCAAUAGUGAAAGACGGUUUUGCUGUCACUUAUAGAUGGAUCCGCGCCGCAUUAGCUAGUUGGUAAGGUAACGGCUUACCAAGGCAACGAUGCGUAGACGACCUGAGAGGGUGAUCGGCCACACUGGAACUGAGACACGGUCCAGACGCCUACGGGAGGCAGCAGUAGGGAAUCGUCCGCAAUGGGCGAAAGCCUGACGGAGCAACGCGGCGUGAGUGAUGAAGGUCUUCGGAGCGGAAAACUCUGUUAUGAGGGAAGAACAAAUGUGUAAGUAACUAUGCACGUCUUGACGGUACCUAAUCAGAAAGCCACGGCUAACUACGUG